UUUUCAACAAAGGGAAUACCAACUGAUACAAUGCUGGUACUAACAGUGUUUCAAAAGGAAAAAAGGUCAUGUGGAGAGAAAUCACACGGUAUUUCCCUAACCCUGAGAUGCCCUCACUCAGAUAACAAAGGGAAGAAAGAGAAGAGUAACCUUUGUUAAAACCCUACUCUGUGUCAGACACUAUGUUAUCUGCUUUCCAGGUCUGUUUAUGAAGUUCGUCAUCAUGGAUCACCACAAUCCUCUGCCUGUGCUUCUGGAUGCUGCAGUUGAAAACUGUCCCAUGCACUGAUUACCUGAGUGUCAAGGGUAUUCCAUGGUGACAAACACAAUGCUGGUGUCUUGAUAGAAAACCAGAGAAUGAAACCAGGCAUGGGCAAGAUCCUCCAAGUACGCAGGCAGCAAGUGGCAGCAUUCAAGUCCGGGUGUAUCACCUGAAUGAAUAUGUUGUGUUAUGGGGAGAAGUGUGUAUAAUGUCUGGAUGAACACACAUAGAUUUUGGCAACAAUAUAUUUUAAAAUAGAGCAACAUAUCAUAGAGUUGGGGCGAGUGGAAGGCAAGAGAGGUGACGAGGACACAAAUUCAAGAAGGCAUUCAUUGCCUGCUGACCCUGCACUUGCAUGAUCUCGAGAGUGAAUGCCUCCUUUUAAAGUUUGCGCCCUAGGUGCCUCUCUUGCUUUAUCUUCAUUCUGGCCUUGUUUGUAUUUUCAUUUUCUAUCAACUCUUCAUCCUCGGGUUUGGAAUAAUUCCCUUCUGUUUAACAAACUAGUGUGGAGCAGGGGUGAGAGUGAGAAGGGGGAUUGUGACCAGAGAGAUUGAGGAUAGAAAAUGAAGAGCACUUGGUGACUGAUGGCUGACAAGAUGACAUCCUGAGGAUAGUGGAACCCUGAAGACCACUGUUAGAAGGUCGGUGUUGGGUUGUUUGCUCUUGGGGUGCUGUGCAGACAUAUGAAUAGGCCUGAUGGAAAUUUUACUUUUUUUCUGCAGACAGCCCUCUGGGGGCAGGGGAGGGGGGUGGAGGGGUUCCACUUUUUCCACAGGGAUGGCCCCAGUGUCUAUGACAACCACAGAGGUUAUUCUAGCUCCAGAGACUCUGAUAGAGCUUUGGGGAAAGGUAUGAACUGAAAACUUACCUGGACAAAGAGGAAAGAAACCAAUGAUCCUUACCACCUACCCCUUUCUGUAGUUCCCACCGCUUAUAAUAAAAAUAUUUUAUCAUUGGCUAGACAGCAAGAUAGUCUUAAGUAUACAGCAGCUGAAAGAUCUUUUUCCUCGCAAGUUAUGGUUUCUAAUGUCUCCCUGAUGAAGCUGGAGAUGAAAUAUCUAUCUUCAGGAGGUGGCCCUUCUACCAAGAAUUCUCUGUGCUCUUUAAGUUAGCAUUAGUGGAAAGAGAACAGAGCGAAAGGUUAGGUUUAUUUUAAAAAGCAACAGGGAGGCAGUGAAAGACGGGAAUAAGCUGAGAAAUAAAAGCAAAGAAAAUGACUGAAAAAUACCAGUUUGUGGAGGUGGCUACCAACGCCUGGCUUCCUGAAUGCUGGUGAGCUUGUGGGGUGGCCACGUUUUCAUUUUCUGAUAUGAAGCAUUUACAAAAGCCUGUGGUUCUGGUAUGUGCUCCAAUCUUCUCAGCAGGCAGCCUGGGAACAGGCGCCCGCCCGUGGCUCUCCCCUUCUGCCCAGGAGGCCUCGCUCAUCAUUAAGCAGAGCUGUGGAGCAGCUUUGCAAACCCUUGUCAAGUCAGACUGUGCAAUGUUCCCUCUAUUGCUACCGAGCCUCCGGUGCAGAGCUGCUUCCCAGAAAAGGCUGGAAGCCAAUCAGAAGCAUCUAUCUUCAGACAUUCUUAGCUUCUUAUAUGAAAUGAGCCCACUCCUCAGAUCCCCUUCUCUUCUGUGACAAACAAGCCAUUUGAAACCUCCCGGAUAUUUUCUAAGGGAAGCUGCUGUGAACCACCUUCUGGUUAGCUGCCUAAUUUCUCUGCAAUCAAUCUGCAGUCAACCUUUGUCAUAUCAUCUGCUGGGGCAGCGGUUUUCUUUCUUUUAUGUUUUUUUUUUUUAUAUUUGUAUAUAGUUUGGACCCGUAUAAUAAGCCUGAUAGGUAGAGAUACUGCUCAGUCUAGACCAUUUCUUAAAUGACAGGUUAAACUCUUGUGCUUUUCAAUUUCCUCAAAACUCCACUAGGGGCAAAGAAAUGGGACCCUAGGCUAGAUGGAAGGGAUCCCCAAGGUCACCUGGUUCAUUUCCCACAAACUGCUAAGCAUUCCGCUUUUCAACCCAGGGCUCAUUCUCAUUUCUCAGAGGUCUACACCAGAGUCUGCCAGUAUUUAGCUUGGGAUAUAAUGUAGUGAUUUCAAACUUAAACUGGGACACAGUGUAGACAGAGGAUGCCCGGAAGGUGUUAGGGACUGGGCAGAUUGCCUGAGAGAAUUCGUAAUAGGUGAUCUUUUUCUUUAGGCUGGAAGGUUAAUCUGGGAGGAGCCCCAUUCAGAUUAUUAUAUUCUAUUACCAAAAUGUAGACUAUAAAAUUGGAGAAAAAGCAAAGCCAUACUGUUCUAUUUAUUUAUUUAUUUAUUUAUUUAUUUAUUUAUUUAUUUAUUUAUUUAUGAUAGGCACACAGUGAGAGAGAGAGAGGCAGAGACACAGGCAG